rnacentral:lncRNA from 1 species
GCCACAACGUCAGAUCAUAGACUAGCGGAAGAUGAAAUUACACAGCACACAAACUGAUUAGGACUGUCGACAGGGAUAAAAACUAUUUCAUAGUUUACAAGUGAGAGUUAGUGGAUGAUUAAAUCAAAAUUGAUCAACGAAAUUCACGAUCGCCGAUAGAAUUAAAAAAGAGAGUAAGCGACUGUUUCUCAAUUUGAACCAAACAUAUUCGAGAUCAAUACCUGAUUCAUCGACCGGAGACACAAGCUCGUAAGGAAACAAAACAAUCAAAGAGACAAAGACAGUGACGACGGCGCAAUACAGAAGAUCCAGGCAUGCAAUUUCUGUGGCAAUGAAGAUUGUAACGGAAUCGAUGCAUACCGUGUGUUGUUGAGCUGAUUGUUUGAGCAGAAAUCAGAGGAUCGUCAGAUCAAUCUGCGGAGAGUCUCGGGAAGGAAGUAGACGAAAACAAAGAAGGUGAAUUAUAU